rnacentral:rRNA from 1 species
UUCUGGACAAUGGGCGCAAGCCUGAUCCAGCAAUGCCGCGUGCAGGAAGAAGGCCUUCGGGUUGUAAACUGCUUUUGUACGGAACGAAACGGUCCGGGUUAAUACCCUGGGCUAAUGACGGUACCGUAAGAAUAAGCACCGGCUAACUACGUGCCAGCAGCCGCGGUAAUACGUAGGGUGCAAGCGUUAAUCGGAAUUACUGGGCGUAAAGCGUGCGCAGGCGGUUUUGUAAGACAGGCGUGAAAUCCCCGGGCUCAACCUGGGAAUUGCGCUUGUGACUGCAAGGCUGGAGUGCGGCAGAGGGGGAUGGAAUUCCGCGUGUAGCAGUGAAAUGCGUAGAUAUGCGGAGGAACACCGAUGGCGAAGGCAAUCCCCUGGGCCUGCACUGACGCUCAUGCACGAAAGCGUGGGGAGCAAACAGG